AGUGCUGGAUUUUUGGGUGGAAACUAGAUAUAAGUGGUGUGUAAAUUAGAAAAAAAAUUUUGAAAAAAAUUUAAGAAAAAGGCAAGAAAAAAUUGAGAGGCAAAAAUUGUAAGAUGGGUGGUGAGAGAAUUAGCAAGUGUUGCUAAUGUGCCCUAGGGUUUGACUUUUCUAUGUGUUGGAGCCCAAAAUCAAAUCCUACAUUAUGAGAUAUCUGAAAAGUAUCUUCUUGGCAUAAUUUUGGUGG
rnacentral:lncRNA from 1 species